GGGGAAUCUUGGACAAUGGGCGAAAGCCUGAUCCAGCGACGCCGCGUGGAGGAAGAAGUCCUUCGGGAUGUAAACUUCUGAACUAGCCGAAUAAAAGGCCUGUGGACACACAGGAGAAGAAAGUAGGCUAGGAAAAGUCCCGGCUAACUACGUGCCAGCAGCCGCGGUAAGACGUAGGGGGCGAGCGUUGUCCGGAAUUACUGGGCGUAAAGAGCACGUAGGCGGGUGUUUAAGUCAGGUGUGAAAGACCGCAGCUCAACUGCGGGGUUGCACUUGAAACUGAAUAUCUUGAGGGCAGGAGAGGUCAGUGGAAUUCCUGGUGUAGCGGUGAAAUGCGUAGAAAUCAGGAGGAACACCAGUGGCGAAGGCGACUGACUGGACUGACCCUGACGCUGAGGUGCGAAAGCGUGGGUAGCAAACA
rnacentral:rRNA from 1 species